rnacentral:rRNA from 1 species
CACGUAGGGCGCAAGCGUUGUCCGGAAUUAUUGGGCGUAAAGAGCUCGUAGGUGGUUUGUCACGUUGUUCGUGAAAACCCACAGCUCAACUGUGGGCGUGCGAGCGAUACGGGCAGACUAGAGUACUGCAGGGGAGACUGGAAUUCCUGGUGUAGCGGUGGAAUGCGCAGAUAUCAGGAGGAACACCGGUGGCGAAGGCGGGUCUCUGGGCAGUAACUGACGCUGAGGAGCGAAAGCGUGGGGAGCGAACAGG